UUGUUGGAGAGUUUGAUCCUGGCUCAGGACGAACGCUGGCGGCGUGCUUAACACAUGCAAGUCGAGCGGAAAGGCCCUUCGGGGUACUCGAGCGGCGA
rnacentral:rRNA from 1 species